UCUGUUGACAGAUAUUUAGGUUGUUUCCCUGUCUUGGCUAUGGCCAACAGUGCUACAAUGAAGCAUGAAUGAAUUUAAUCUUCACAGCAACUUUAUGAUUUAUGUACAUUUGUACUAAUUUCAGAGAUGCAGAAAUUGAGGUUGAGGGAAGUUAAGCAACUUGCCUAAGAUGCAGGGUGUGGAUACUUGACUAGUGUUAGGUGUUACUCCUACACCUGCCAUGACAUUGCAGAGAAAGUAGGUUAGGAGGGGGCCCAGAGCAGAAGGACUGAGGGAACAGCCAUACACGAAGGAAGCAAGCAAGUCAGGAUCAGAUAAUGGGUAAAGGUGGGAAAGUGGACACAGGUGGGGGGAGGGAGAAGUUCUCUUAGCCCAUCACAUGGCUCAGCUGAGUGGGGUAGAGGAGGACACUAGCACCAGCCAGAGAAAAGCCAGAAGCUAAGAGGCAGGGAGGUCGUCUGUGAAGCCAGAAUGGACAGGAGGCCCAUUCCCAUCUUUUCAGUGGGAGGCCUGGCCUCCAGGACUGGGCUGAGGGUCUCUGAAGUCAAGGACAGCAAGCAGGGCCUAGAAGGGGCCCUUCUGCUGAGUGAAACUCAUGCUCAGCCAAGGAGCAGCAUGAGGCUGGACCAGCGACGCCUCAACUGCUUGUCCUCCCAGAUAUGAAUAAAUGACCCAGGCUAAAUGCCAGUUCCUUGCAAAGAAUUUCAUUUAAGCUUCACUGAAUUGAAAAGGCUCAACCAGACUCAACAUUUCCAACUUCCUAGCAAGUAGCAGAAAAUCUACCUGACAGUUGCUAUGGAAACACGAACAGGAAGAGUGAACCACCAGCCUAUAAAUCCACAGAGAAACCUUUCUUAAUUGGAAGGCCUUUAACCCACACAUUUUUCUCAUAGCUGCAGAGCUUAUUUCUAAAGAGAUUAUUAAAUUCCUCAAUUGACUUAUGAAGGAUGCUUCCCACUAUAUUACUGUGCUUUGGGUUGCUCGUUCUUUAUAUCUGUUUCCAAAAUUACAAAGCAGACCAGGGAUAAUAAAAGUUAACACAGAUGUUUCAAUGAAAAAUCCAUAUGAUGUUUCGAAAAUAACUUCAGCAGCAAUGCCGAACAAAAAGGACUCCGGUACAAGAACCAAGAUGGUGUGGGAUUGUUUGUUUCAAAGCCAAAUGGAAAUCACCAAACUGCACCACCCCCUGUUCUGAAUCCGACAGAUUAAUAUGGGUAGGAAAUCCUGACAGCAUUUCACAAUGUUAAAGAACAGUGACCAAGUUGGGGGAAAAAAAAAA